AACGAACGCUGGCGGCAGGCUUAACACAUGCAAGUCGAGCGCCCCGCCAGGGGCGCGGCAGCCGGGUGAGUAACGCGUGGCAACUUACCUUUUGGUUCGGAACAACUCCGGGAAACUGGAGCUACUUCCGGAUACGCCCUAACGGGGAAAGAUGUAUCGUCGAACGAUCGGCCCGCGUCUGAUUAGCUAGUUGGUGAGGUCACGGCUCACUAACGCGACGAUCAGUAGUUGGUCUGAGAGGAUGAUCAGCCAAACUGGGCCUGAGACACGGCCCAGACUCCUACGGGAGGGAGGAGUGGGGGAUAGAGGACAAUGGGGGCAAGCCUGAUCGAGCCAUGCCGGGUGAGUGAUGAAGGCCGUAGGGUUGUAAAGCUCUUUUGUCCGGGAAGAUAAUGACGGUACCGGAAGAAUAAGCCCCGGCUAACUUCGUG
rnacentral:rRNA from 1 species